UAUAAAGUGAAGAAGACCUUUGCCGAAAAUUUGCAUAGAGAACAAGCAAAUUUUACCUUGGCGGGACAUGCUGCCCGUGAAAGCAACACAUCGGUCUAAUUUUAUCACAAUCCCAAAUUUUUAAAGAACAGGUUUGGGGCAAAGUCCAGAAAUCAAUGUUCAACCCAGGCGAUCAACCUCAUCCUGGUAAACACUCAUUUCUGAGCUUUCGGCGACUAGAGUUAAUGGUGGAGCCAAGCGGGAUCGAACCGCUGACCUCCUGCGUGCAAAGCAGGCGCUCUCCCAGCUGAGCUAUGGCCCCUUCGAUUGGUGGGUCUGGGCAGAUUCGAACUGCCGACCUCACCCUUAUCAGGGGUGCGCUCUAACCCAAGUGGAGCUUCUAGACCGCUUUAUCUGUUUUCC
rnacentral:tRNA from 1 species